UUGCGUAGGGCAUGCUUUAUGAUUCUAAAACUAUUUUUAGUCUAAUAUACAGUAUGUAUAUAUAGAUACACACCCUCUCUUUGUCAGUAAGCAGCACAUCACAGACUGGUUAGAUCUUACCAGACAUUUAAAACCAAAUCAUCAUCAAGUUUCGCUCUUGAAAUGGAAAGCGGAAAACAGUGGGUAAUGCUUGUAGCUGGUUCCAAGGGAUGGAACGAUUACAGGCACCAGGCCAACGUCUGUCAUGUUUAUCAUAUGAUGCAUCAGAAUGGGAUUCCCGAUGAUCAGAUUGUGGUGAUGAUGUAUGAUGAUAUCGCUUAUAAUGAUAAAAACCCUUAUCGCGAA